rnacentral:rRNA from 1 species
AAAAGCUCAAAUUUGAAAUCUGGCACCUUCGGUGUCCGAGUUGUAAUUUGAAGAUUGUAACCUUGGGGUUGGCUCUUGUCUAUGUUUCUUGGAACAGGACGUCACAGAGGGUGAGAAUCCCGUGCGAUGAGAUGCCCAAUCCUAUGUAAGGUGCUUUCGAAGAGUCGAGUUGUUUGGGAAUGCAGCUCUAAGUGGGUGGUAAAUUCCAUCUAAAGCUAAAUAUUGGCGAGAGACCGAUAGCGAACAAGUACAGUGAUGGAAAGAUGAAAAGAACUUUGAAAAGAGAGUGAAAAAGUACGUGAAAUUGUUGAAAGGGAAGGGUUUGAGAUCAGACUCGAUAUUUUGUGAGCCUUGCCUUCGUGGCGGGGUGACCCGCAGCUUAUCGGGCCAGCAUCGGUUUGGGCGGUAGGAUAAUGGCGUAGGAAUGUGACUUUGCUUCGGUGAAGUGUUAUAGCCUGCGUUGAUGCUGCCUGCCUAGACCGAGGACUGCGAUUUUAUCAAGGAUGCUGGCAUAAUGAUCCCAAACCGCCCUUG